AGCUCCAAUAGCGUAUUCAAAUGUUGUUGCAGUUAAAAAGCUCGUAGUUGGAUAUCAGGUCUCGUGGAAUUGGCCCGUCGCCUUUGUGUGAUUGAGUGCUAGUGAAGCGGAUCUUAUUUUUCCGGAGAGGUGCUCUCCCCUUAAUUGGUGGUGGAGUUUUCCGAUCUGGAUCAGUUACCUUGAAUAAAUUAGAGUGUUCAAAGCAAGCUUACGCUGUGAAUAUUUUAGCAUGGAAUAACGACAUAGGACUUUCUUGUCUAUUUCGUUGGUUUCUAGACUCGAAGUAAUGAUUGAUAGGGACAGUUGGGGGUGCUGGUAUUAUAUGGCCAGAGGUGAAAUUCUCAGAUUCAUGUAAGACCAACUUAUGCGAAAGCAUUCACCAAGGAUGUCUUCUUUAAUC
rnacentral:rRNA from 1 species